rnacentral:rRNA from 2 species
CGAGUGGCGGACGGGUGAGUAACACGUGGGUAACCUGCCCUUAAGUGGGGGAUAACAUUUGGAAACAGAUGCUAAUACCGCAUAGAUCCAAGAACCGCAUGGUUCUUGGCUGAAAGAUGGCGUAAGCUAUCGCUUUUGGAUGGACCCGCGGCGUAUUAGCUAGUUGGUGAGGUAAUGGCUCACCAAGGCGAUGAUACGUAGCCGAACUGAGAGGUUGAUCGGCCACAUUGGGACUGAGACACGGCCCAAACUCCUACGGGAGGCAGCAGUAGGGAAUCUUCCACAAUGGACGCAAGUCUGAUGGAGCAACGCCGCGUGAGUGAAGAAGGCUUUCGGGUCGUAAAACUCUGUUGUUGGAGAAGAAUGGUCGGCAGAGUAACUGUUGUCGGCGUGACGGUAUCCAACCAGAAAGCCACGGCUAACUACGUGCCAGCAGCCGCGGUAAUACGUAGGUGGCAAGCGUUAUCCGGAUUUAUUGGGCGUAAAGCGAGCGCAGGCGGUUUUUUAAGUCUGAUGUGAAAGCCCUCGGCUUAACCGAGGAAGCGCAUCGGAAACUGGGAAACUUGAGUGCAGAAGAGGACAGUGGAACUCCAUGUGUAGCGGUGAAAUGCGUAGAUAUAUGGAAGAACACCAGUGGCGAAGGCGGCUGUCUGGUCUGUAACUGACGCUGAGGCUCGAA